CCAAUGGUCCCACUGUCCUAUGGUCCCCACAGCCCUAUGGUCCCCACAGCCCUAUGGUCCCACAGCCCUAUGGUCCCACUGUCCUAUGGUCCCACAGCCCUAUGGUCCCCACAGCCCUAUAGUCCCACAGACCAAUGGUCCCACUGUCCUAUGGUCCCACAGCCAUAUGGUCCCA